rnacentral:rRNA from 1 species
GCUACAGGCUUAACACAUGCAAGUCGAGGGGCAGCAUCAUCAAAGCUUGCUUUGAUGGAUGGCGACCGGCGCACGGGUGAGUAACACGUAUCCAACCUGCCGACAACACUGGGAUAGCCUUUCGAAAGAAAGAUUAAUACCGGAUGGCAUAGUUUUCCCGCAUGGGAUAAUUAUUAAAGAAUUUCGGUUGUCGAUGGGGAUGCGUUCCAUUAGGCAGUUGGCGGGGUAACGGCCCACCAAACCGACGAUGGAUAGGGGUUCUGAGAGGAAGGUCCCCCACAUUGGAACUGAGACACGGUCCAAACUCCUACGGGAGGCAGCAGUGAGGAAUAUUGGUCAAUGGACGAGAGUCUGAACCAGCCAAGUAGCGUGAAGGAUGACUGCCCUAUGGGUUGUAAACUUCUUUUAUACGGGAAUAAAGUUAGCCACGUGUGGCUUUUUGUAUGUACCGUAUGAAUAAGGAUCGGCUAACUCCGUGCCAGCAGCCGCGGUAAUACGGAGGAUCCGAGCGUUAUCCGGAUUUAUUGGGUUUAAAGGGAGCGUAGGCGGGUUGUUAAGUCAGUUGUGAAAGUUUGCGGCUCAACCGUAAAAUUGCAGUUGAUACUGGCGACCUUGAGUGCAACAGAGGUAGGCGGAAUUCGUGGUGUAGCGGUGAAAUGCUUAGAUAUCACGAAGAACUCCGAUUGCGAAGGCAGCUUACUGGAUUGUAACUGACGCUGAUGCUCGAAAGUGUGGGUAUCAAACAGGAUUAGAUACCCUGGUAGUCCACACAGUAAACGAUGAAUACUCGCUGUUGGCGAUAUACAGUCAGCGGCCAAGCGAAAGCAUUAAGUAUUCCACCUGGGGAGUACGCCGGCAACGGUGAAACUCAAAGGAAUUGACGGGGGCCCGCACAAGCGGAGGAACAUGUGGUUUAAUUCGAUGAUACGCGAGGAACCUUACCCGGGCUUAAAUUGCAACUGACGGAACCGGAAACGGUUCUUUCUUCGGACAGUUGUGAAGGUGCUGCAUGGUUGUCGUCAGCUCGUGCCGUGAGGUGUCGGCUUAAGUGCCAUAACGAGCGCAACCCUUAUCGAUAGUUACUAGCAGGUCAUGCUGAGGACUCUAUUGAGACUGCCGUCGUAAGAUGUGAGGAAGGUGGGGAUGACGUCAAAUCAGCACGGCCCUUACGUCCGGGGCUACACACGUGUUACAAUGGGGGGUACAGAAGGCAGCUACACGGCGACGUGGUGCUAAUCCCGAAAGCCUCUCUCAGUUCGGAUUGGAGUCUGCAACCCGACUCCAUGAAGCUGGAUUCGCUAGUAAUCGCGCAUCAGCCACGGCGCGGUGAAUACGUUCCCGGGCCUUGUACACACCGCCCGUCAAGCCAUGAAAGCCGGGGGUACCUGAAGUACGUAAACGCGAGGAGCGUCCUAGGGUAAAACUGGUGAUUGGGGCUAA